ACCGUCUCGCAAGAGUUGCAAACCACACGAACUUGCGUGAACGGGUGUCUGCUAGCAGCGAUUGUUAUGCAGAUACUUUCUAGCUGGUUUUCUCGUUCAGGAUUUUAGGCGCGCUAUUUAGUGAUUGACAGUUAUAACGAUGGUUUUCCUGAGGGCUCAACACAUUAAGUUUUUCCAGAGAUGUCUCACUGUUCUCCCCUGCGCUAUGUCAUCUUUGGACGAAAUGAGAAUGACUGUAGCCUAUUUCGCAGUUUCUGGACUAGAUCUGCUGAACGCUCUCGAUACAAUAGGAAACAAAAAACACAUCGUCGAAUGGAUAUACUCACUCCAGGUCCUGCCAAAUAAGGAUCGGACUAAUCUUGACCGGUGUGGUUUCAAGGGAUCACAUGCUACUGGCUUCAAAGGGAAUGAUUUGGAUGAUAAUGCCAGCAGUUUGAACUGUGGCCACAUUGCCAUGACCUACACUGCCUUGGCCACCCUCAUUAUACUCGGUGAUGAUUUGAGCAGAGUGGACAGGUUUGCCAUCAUGCAAGGUCUCAAAGCACUCCAGCAGGAGUCUGGAAGCUUUACAGCUCUCAUCCAUGGGAGUGAGGACGACAUGCGAUUUGUCUACUGUGCUGCAGCAAUAUGCUGUUUGCUGCAUGACUGGUCUGGAUUUGACAAAGAAAAGGCUGUGAGCUUCAUUCAGAGCUGUUAUGGCUAUGAUGGAGGAAUAUCGCCAUAUCCAGGAACAGAAUCACAUGGGGGCUCGACAUACUGUGCGGUGGCCUCACUCGUCCUCAUGGGGCAGCUGCACUCAGCGCUGAGUGAACAACAGUUACGCAGCCUGCAGCGAUGGUGUCUGAACCGGCAGUUGACGGGAUUCCAGGGUCGUCCGAACAAACCCAUCGACACUUGUUACUCUUUUUGGGUAGGCGCAGCCCUCAAGCUUCUAGGUGCCUUCCAGUUUGUGAACCAGAAGGAGAACCUAGAAUUUCUCUAUUCGACUCAGGAUGCAAUCACAGGUGGCUUCAGCAAGUGGCCCGACAGUGACCCUGUGCGCUGGAAGCCACACAGUGGAGAUGCCAAGAGAGCAAAGCCCCAGCCAAAAGUUGUGUCGUAGCGGCAAAACGGCUUUUCACGAUGCCUGGUUGAGAAAAAGCUGAAGUUACAGGAACACAGUCUGGACAUUUCAAGGAGGAGACUUACUUAGGUAGUUAAGACCUUUGCCAGAUCAAGUGCCUCAUCUCUGGUGAUGAGCAAGGAGAAGGAAGGAUUUACCUGGCCAUGCCUAUGCUACCAUUCUGAAAGCAGAACAUCAUUGGGGUUCAUGGAGAAGAGACCUAUGUGCGCGUCUGCAGCAUCUUGCUUUGCUGGAAGGGCUCGCAAUGGCAUGGAAGUGUAGUGCUGUCACUUCCCUUUCUUUUGUGACACUGGAUUAUUUGGCAUUCAGCAACAGGCCCCUAUGCGGGGUGCUCAUGGCUUGCGACACAGAGGAAGGUUGUGAAACGAAGGAGACAACAAAUGUGUUUCUGUGCUUUAUUUGCAACUUUUUUCCCAUUUUUUUUUUUCUGCAGUGUCCCCAGUUUUUAAUGAACAUUUGUCAACUUCUCCAACUCUCUCUUCUCCUGAAUGCACGGAGUGCAAAGACAAAGCUAUCACCUGCCCAAAUUUCCAGGCUGUACAGGGACCACCAUUUACAGCUAUUGUUGCCACUACUGCUUCCACGGCUAGUUAUCCAAUCUGAAUGACAUUACAGAACAUAUUCCUUAUGGCUAGCAGAGACCUUUUAAAUGUUUCUGUACUGAAAACAAAGACAUGUAAUAUUUCGCUGAGGCAUACCAUGUUAAUUUUAUAGUUAGACUAUAUUAUUUGACACAUAGCCUCAAUGCCUCUGGCACAUAGAAACAAGAGACUGAAAAUAAAAUUUUGUUUCAAUUUUACAUUUGUUGACAGUUGAAAUUGGUACUAACCAGGUA
rnacentral:misc_RNA from 1 species